rnacentral:rRNA from 1 species
GACGAACGCUGGCGGCGUGCUUAACACAUGCAAGUCGAACGGAAAGGCCCUGCUUUUGUGGGGUGCUCGAGUGGCGAACGGGUGAGUAACACGUGAGUAACCUGCCCUUGACUUUGGGAUAACUUCAGGAAACUGCGGCUAAUACCGGCUAGGAGCUCCUGCUGCAUGGUGGGGGUUGGAAAGUUUCGGCGGUUGGGGAUGGACUCGCGGCUUAUCCGCUUGUUGGUGGGGUAGUGGCUUACCAAGGCUUUGACGGGUAGCCGGCCUGAGAGGGUGACCGGCCACAUUGGGACUGAGAUACGGCGCAGAGUCCUACGGGAGGCAGCAGUGGGGAAUAUUGCACAAUGGGCGGAAGCCUGAUGCAGCAGCGCCGCGUGCGGGAUGACGGCCUUCGGGUUGUAAACCGCUUUCGCCUGUGACGAAGCGUGAGUGACGGUAAUGGGUAAAGAAGCACCGGCUAACUACGUG